UAUAACUUUGGUGCUGAAUUGAGAGAGGGUACAAAUAAUCAAUAAAUUCUGCUGUGUGAUAUGAUUCACUAUUACAGUCUGAAACUAUCGGCCUCCCAGGCGGAAUCUGAAAUGGUUUGCUCCACUUUUCAGGUUCCUUAUGGAUCUUAGGGAGCAGAUAGAACCUCCUUGCCCUGGGUUCAGUGGAGCCACGCAGGUCCUGGGAAAUCAAUUUCUCCACCUCAGGGGGGAGAGAGCCCAUUGGAGGAGACCAGUCUGACUCCGGCAUAAAGGGCUCUUGGGGCCAUCUAAUUUAACCACUCACUCCAGUGCUUCUUGAUACGAGCCGCCGUGGCCUUGGACCAGUGGACAUUAUCACCGGUCACUGUGAAGGCCCUCUUCUCCAGCGCCGGGAUGUGGUGGGGGAGAAGGAGGAGCGUCUGAACGUUAAAGAGUGAGAAGUUUUGUGAUUGACAUCAUGCGGAUUAAACAAAGACAAUAUGAAAUCUCAUCUAUUUGUACUUUAUUUCUGGCAACAUCUACUUGUUGAUCAUGUGACUUUUUUGAUGCAAAAAAAGUUUUUCCAGUUUCAAUAUUGGAAACAAAAACACCUCAUCCUAGCGGCAAAACUUUUUAUUAAAAAGGGAGAAUUUCUUCAAAAUGUCGUCUUUCCAAUGAACAAAUUUAUUUUUUGUAAAAUAUACUUGCUAGAUUUCAAGGUUAAUAGAAACACAGCAACCUUUGCAGUAAUCAGUACAACUAAAAAUAAAUGCAUGGAUGAGUUCCUGGGGAUCUUGUUGGUACAUUAGUCCUUUAUUCGGUUUAUUUUUUUCUUCCACAAUCUACAUAUAAAAUAAAAAUAUGAAAGAUCAUACAUUUUUAUUCUUGAAAGAACUUAAAUAGCUUGAUUUUUGUUACUCUUCAUAUGGACCACACACCAUUACUUGACAUGAAGUCAGGGUGAGGCAGCAGAGUAAGAAAUGAGAAACUGCCAUCUGCAGGUGGGGUUUGCAUCAUUUAAUCCAGGGGUGUCUAGCAUACGGCCCACGGGCCGGUUCCGGCCCGCCGAACAAUUUAGUCCAGCCCG